rnacentral:rRNA from 1 species
UACAGAGGUGGCAAGCGUUGUUCGGAAUUACUGGGCGUAAAGGGCGCGUAGGCGGCCAUCUAAGUCAGACGUGAAAAUCCCCCCGGCUUAACCUGGGAACUGCGUCUGAUACUGGACGGCUGGAGUUUGGGAGAGGGAUGUAGAAUUCCAGGUGUAGCGGUGAAAUGCGCAGAUAUCAGGAGGAACACCGGCGGCGAAGGCGGCUCACUGGCCCGUUACCGACGCUCAGGCGCCGGACAGCGUGGGGAGCAAACAGGAUUAGAUACC